rnacentral:lncRNA from 1 species
AUGGCUGGGCUGCCCCGUAGAAUCAUCAAGGACACCCAGCAUUUGCUGGCAGAAGGAGUUCCUGGCAUCCAAGCAGAAUCACGUGAGAGCAACACCUGUUAUUUUCAUGUGGUCAUUGCUGGCCCUCAGGAUUCCCCCUUUGAGGGAAGGACUUUUAAACUUGAACUGUUCCUUCCAGAAGAAUAAGCAAUGGCAGCCCCUAAAGUACGUUUCAUGACCAAAAUUUAUCAUCCUAAUGUAGACAAGUUGGGAAGAAUAUGUUUAGAUAUUUUGAAAGAUGAGUGGUCCCCAGCACUGCAGAUCUGACAGUUCUGCUAUCGAUCCAGGCCUUGUUAAGUGCUCCCAAUCCAGAUGAUCCAUUAGCAAAUGAUGUAGUGGAGACAUGGAAGACCCACGAAGCCCAAGCCAUAGAAACAGCUAGAGCAGCGACUAGGCUAUAUGCCAUGAAUAAUAUUUAA